GUGCUUAGCUGGCAGGGGAGGUACCAAGAUCGCCCAGGAGGUGGUUUUCCUGGGCGAGGCUUAUCCAUUGUACUGCGGAUGUGCUGACCCCUGCAAUUUCCCCAAAUGUGGGAAACUUCCCUGCAAAACUUGUGGUAGUGGGGGCCUGUGUUCCUGCUCUCCCCUG